rnacentral:rRNA from 1 species
CCUACGGGUGGCAGCAGUGAGGAAUAUUGGUCAAUGGACGAGAGUCUGAACCAGCCAAGUAGCGUGAAGGAUGACUGCCCUAUGGGUUGUAAACUUCUUUUAUAUGGGAAUAAAACGUUCCACGUGUGGGAUUUUGUAUGUACCAUAUGAAUAAGGAUCGGCUAACUCCGUGCCAGCAGCCGCGGUAAUACGGAGGAUCCGAGCGUUAUCCGGAUUUAUUGGGUUUAAAGGGAGCGUAGGUGGAUUGUUAAGUCAGUUGUGAAAGUUGCGGCUCAACCGUAAAAUUGCAGUUGAAACUGGCAGUCUUGAGGACAGUAGAGGUGGGCGGAAUUCGUGGUGUAGCGGUGAAAUGCUUAGAUAUCACGAAGAACUCCGAUUGCGAAGGCAGUUCACUGGACUGCAACUGACACUGAGGCUCGAAAGUGUGGGUAUCAAACAGGAUUAGAUACCCCAGUAGUC